AAACCACAAUAAGUAGACUGUAGCACCUCACUUGCACAGACCAAUACUCAGACGAACAUAGUGAUCCCUCUCUCUAUAUAUAUAUAUGCACAAGCGCACACACGCUCGCGCACCAAGCAGUCCGGUACAGUGCACUCUGUUCCAACCUCUAUCUGUACAAGUGUCCACAUCUGCGCCUCGUACAACAGGGGGUGGGGUGGGGUAGGGCGAAAAGCAGAAACGCGGAAGGCACGCACGCGUCUUAGCAGGAGUGUUUUGGGUUGUCUGUGGGGCUGCUCAGGCGCUGCAGAAGCGACGCUCGCGAGGGGGGUACCGCUGUGGGUGUUUAUAGCUGCUUGGGACGCACACGCUUUCCUCAGAGAGCUCUUUCAGGCAUACUUGCUCUCUCCCACCCCCUGCAGGAGCGUGCGUCACCUCUACUGUGCGUGUGCGGGCUCGAAUUCAUUUCUGUCGCUGUGUUGCGCACUGCCGUUGAAGAAGCCGAUCCGUAAAUAGGAAACGAAGAAAGCCGCUCGUGAUGGCGAACAUUACGGACCUUCUCAUGGCUCUGGGCAACCCGGAGCCGUCUAUCCGGGUGCCCGCAGAGACCGCUGUGAACAAUGCCAAGGAGACCGACCUCGCCACCUUCAUGACGACAAUGCUGCAGGAGUUCCGGGACGAGAGCAAGCCGACUUUUGCCCGAAACAUGGCGGGCACGCUGCUAAAGAAUGCAGUGGCGCCAUCCUUUCGAGAAGUGGCGGCACGGCACGCGCUGGAGGAACGUUGGCGCGCUCUGCCUGCGGAUGUGCGGCUGCACAUCAAGAAUGAGGUUCUGAGUACUCUCGGCAGCCCCAAUCGCGAUGUGCGCACAGUUGCCGCCAACAUCGUUGGCAGCCUCGCGCGUAGCGAGCUGCCUUCUGGGGAGUGGCCGCAGCUGAUGGGCAUUCUUGUCGGCGCAGCGCAGUCUGCCUCGGAGCAGCACCAGGAGGCAGCCCUCACCGCCAUCGGCUACAUUUGCGAGGAGGGUAAGGAUCACGAGGAGGUGGAGGGGGCGCUGAAACCGAGCACGACAGACGUGCUCUCUGUGAUUGUGCAGUGCAUGGCAAGCACCAACGAGGAUGUCAAGCUCAGCGCCACGAAUGCCUUGUGCAAUGCGAUGGAGUAUAUCCACGACAACAUGGACGUCCCGGAGCAGCGCAGCUACCUCGUGACGGCGCUGUGUGAAACGGCGAAGUCGUGCACGACGGCGCGUACUCGAGAGCGCGCCAUGGAGAGCUUGGUGAAGGUGGCGGAGCUCUACUACUCGACGCUGCCGGACUACAUCGCGCGUCUCCACGAAAUCACCACAAACGCAAUUUUUCACGACGAGGAGGCGGUGGGCCUGCAGGCUAUCCAGUUUUGGAUCUCGAUCUGCGAGCUGGAGCGGGACAUGAAGGAGGGCGGCGACGUGCAGUCGAGCCUGAACUACAGCGCGCAGGGGCUCACGUUCCUUGUCGACAUCUGCAAGCAGCUCCUCGUCCAACAAGAAGAGGACCAGACGGAGGAUGACUGGAACCUCUCCGUGGCCGGUGGCAAGCUGUUGCAGAGCCUCGCCGAGGCCGUCGGUAUCCCCAUCCAGAGGCCCGUGAUGGAUUUCGUGUACGCCAACAUUAACAGCACAGAGUGGCGCAAACGCGAGGCAUCCGUGAUGGCGUUCGGGUGUAUCAUCGGAGUCCAGGAAACGGCGGCGCAGGAAGCCAUUCAGGACACUGUGGCGCAGGCGGUCCCCGGCCUCAUGGAGUACCUCCGCGACUCGAACGAGAUGGUGGCGGACACGAGUGCGUGGGUGCUGGCGCUGGUGUGCGAGAACUUCGUCGACAUCUUCCUGCAGACGCCCGAUCUACUGCAGCGCUUAAUGAACGAUGUCGGUCCGAUGAUCGGUGGCGAAAACGCGCGCAUGGGCGUUCGUGCGUGCCACAUCAUCAACAACAUCGCGCUGGCGUACGAGGAAGAGGAGGAUCAGCAGACAAACGAGAUUUCGCGCUACUAUGGCGACCUCGUCGUCGUUCUUCUGCACGCUAUCGACCACGGCACCACGAACGACUUUAAGAGUGCUGCUCAAGAGACGCUGAAUGCCCUCGUAGACGCGGCCGCGAAUGACUGCUGCAGCGCCUACCUAAUUCAAUUGCCUCAGGAACUGCUAGCACGCAUGGGCCCGCAGCUCAACGCGCUGCGACAGUCCAGCGGCGACAACAUUGAAGCUGAGGCGAUGAUGGGCCUGCUCUGCGGCGCGCUCUCGGCCCUUGCGCGCAAGCUGGGUCAGAGCUUUAUGCCAUUCCUAGACGCUUCCAUGCAAGCCCUCAUUCAGGUGAUCGAGCUCCCCACUGACUACGUGCAGCAGGAGGCGCUGGUGGCGAUUGGCAGUAUCGCCUACGUUGCCAAGGAGCAACUGGCACCCUACCUAGCGAAGGUCAUUCCGCACGUGCUGAAGUACUUGCAGGCUUUCGACGAACCGGACAGCAUCUACGGCGUGGUGGCUGCGGUGGGCGACCUCAGUCUCUCCUGUCGCCUCUCGCUGCUGCCCUUCGAGUCCGAUAUCAUGAACACCCUGUACGUCAACCUCACGAACACCGAGGUGGAUCGCGAGCUCAAGUGCUCAUUUCUCAGCUGCUUUAGCGACUUUAUUCUCAACGUGCUGGGCAGCGAGCGUUUUAAGCCGUACAUGGCCGCGCUGCUGCCGCUGGUGGACCGACUCUUCCGCGCCAGCUGCGAGAUCGACAUCCGCGGCGACCCAGAAGGCGAGGAGUACGUGAUGAGUCUCUGGGAGACGACCGCCUCCUUCUACUCCUCCGUCACCCAGUGUUUCAAGAGCAGUGACGUCGAUGCCCUUGCGCCGUACCUGGCAAACAUUUUGAACUUUGCCCUUCACGCCGCCACGAACGCCGGCGAGUUCGAGGAGACGCAGAUGGCGGCACUCAUGGUCAUUGGCGACAUGGCAUCGGUGCUACGCCACGUACCCGAUCCGCAGAUGCGGGCGCAGGCGAAGCAGGCGCUGCUGGCAGACGCCGUGAACGGGGCUCUGAACCAAGCGCUGUGCAGCAGCACCUCUGAGGACAACAAGAAGCAGAUAAAGUGGAUCCGGAAUCAGCUGAGUCACCUCCAGCGCUCAUGAUCGCCCCAGGCGAGGGGUGGAGCGGCGCUGCUCUCAACACACACGACUGUGUUGGUGUGUGCAUAUCUUCGGGCCUUUGCCUCGGACGCGCACGCGGGCCGGAAUGCGGGCAUCCGUGUUGUCCACUGCCAUCCUCAUAGAAGGGAGUCCUGUGCGCGGGCAAGCGGCCACCGACACGCCUUGUGCACGCAUUUGGCAGUGUGCAUGUGUGCGUUCGUUACACGCGUUCAAGGCAUUACUGUUCGUGCAGCUUAUGCGCGCGUGCUUGCCUGCUCGUCGUCGUAUUCCUCUCGCUCGCUCCCCGUGUACGUCUGAGUGGUUGACGUCUUUGUCUCAGAAGGUAAGGCACCGCGCCCCCCCACCCCACCCGCUCACUCCCUUAACAUGGGCGGCUCAACACCGCUAAUAAGCUAAGAGGGUCUGAAAGGCCCCUUAAGUCGCUGGUGCUCGCUUGUGUGUGUGUGUGUGUGUGUGUGUGUGUGUGUGUGUGUGUGUGUGUGUGUGUGUGUGUGUCAGUGAUUGUUUUUGCCGUUGUUGUUUUCUGCGCCCCAUGGUCAUGGGGCGGCACCGCCCAACGUGGAACGAAAGCAUAGAGGGGCGACGCUCGCGCACCGGCGGCUUCUUGGCCGUGCGCGCCAUGGUGGUGUUUGGCGUGUUUUUGUGCGUGUGGUGGUGAUGGUGGUGGAAGGCGUCUAUGAUCCCCCGCUGAGCACUGUGUGUGUGUGUGUGUCGUCUCUGUCUCACGGCAUAUGGAGCAGCCUCGCUCACCAGCAUUCGCGACACCGUCUGCGUGCUUGAGGGAGCAUACAACAUGCAGCCACAGUCGACAGAGAUGAACGUGGCCCCAUCGUCGGGCUCUUUCAGUGCCGCCGCCCUCAGCGGCGCCGCUGCACGUGCUCCCACUCGGCCGCUUCCCAGAAUCUCUACCAACUGAUUAUCAUACACGGCACAUGGCACAGCUCUUGAGGGGUGAUAUGAGGGUGCGGCAUUGCGCUCCUCCUCCUCCUCCUCCCCCCUUACACACUCCGCCCUCUCCCUCGCUUCAUUCUCUCACUCCACUCGAAG
rnacentral:misc_RNA from 1 species